rnacentral:rRNA from 1 species
GACGAACGCUGGCGGCGUGCUUAACACAUGCAAGUCGAACGGAGAGACCAGAGCUUGCUCUUCUGCUCGAGUGGCGAACGGGUGAGUAACACGUGAGUAAUCUGCCCUACACUCUGGGAUAAGCCCUGGAAACUGCGUCUAAUACCGGAUACGACACAGCGCUGCAUGGCUACUUGCUGAAAAUUUUUUCGGUCUGGGAUGGUCUCGCGGCCUAUCAGCUUGUUGGUGGGUUAGGGGCUCACCAAGGCAACGACGGGUAGCCGGCCUGAGAGGGUGACCGGCCACACUGGGACUGAGACACGGCCCAGACUCCUACGGGAGGCAGCAGUGGGGAAUAUUGCACAAUGGGCGAAAGCCUGAUGCAGCGACGCCGCGUGAGGGAUGACGGCCUUCGGGUUGUAAACCUCUUUCAGCAGGGAAGAAGCGUAAGUGACGGUACCUGCAGAAGAAGCACCGGCUAACUACGUG